UGUACGGUGUAACAAACUGUUUACACAUGAGAAUAAACUCUUGAAUCAAAUGUAAAUUGCGUAGAUUACAGUGUGAGACUUGUCCAUGUAAAAAUGCAUAGUUCCUGACAAGUGAAUAUUUUCUGACAGAGGAAAGUGUUAAUGGACAAGUUAAAGAAGACUGUAUCCUCAGAAGGAAGAUUUAAAAACUUGAGGGAAACUCUGAAGAAAUGCAACCCACCAUGUGUCCCCUACCUGGGAAUGUACCUGACCGACUUGCACUUCACUGAAGAAGGAACGCCCAACCUGACCGAGGAGGGUCUGGUCAACUUCUCCAAGAUGAGGAUGGUUCUAUCUGUCUCAGGCAAUCAAACCGGCAAUAAUGGUAAAAGGAUGAAUGUAGAAGCGACUGAGCCCAGCAGUAACGUGAAGCGUUGCUGUCAAACUACACAGAAGCGGCUUCAGUCCUGUGUCAGUAACUGAGUGCCGCCCAACAGAUCGCACACAUCAUCCGUGACAUCGGGCAGUUCCAGCGGAGCCCCUAUAGGAUUGAACCCCAGCCUAAGCAAGGUGACACAGUACCUCCUGGACAAGACCCUCAUCGUGGACAAAGACACUCUCCAUGUCCUGUCUUUGAAGACUGAACCCCGACUGCCGGCUUAAAGAGCUUCAGC